GGAGGAAGAGAAACCAACCGGGAUUGCCCUAGUAACGGCGAGUGAAGCGGCAACAGCUCAAAUUUGAAAUCUGGCGCCUUCGGUGCCCGAGUUGUAAUUUGUAGAGGGUAGCUCGAGUCCGCCCCCGUCUAAGUCCCCUGGAACGGGGCGUCGUAGAGGGUGAGAAUCCCGUAUGCGACGGGGUGGCGUGCUCGUGUGAGCUCCCUUCGACGAGUCGAGUUGUUUGGGAAUGCAGCUCUAAAUGGGAGGUAAAUUCCUUCUAAAGCUAAAUACCGGCCAGAGACCGAUAGCGCACAAGUAGAGUGAUCGAAAGAUGAAAAGCACUUUGGAAAGAGAGUUAAAAAGCACGUGAAAUUGUUGAAAGGGAAGCGCUCACGACCAGACUCGGGUGCGGCUGCUCAGCCGGUCUUCUGACCGGUGCAUCGGCCGCGCCCGGGCCAGCAUCGGUUCGGGCGGUCGGAUAAAGGUCCCGGGAACGUAGCUCCCCUCGGGGAGUGUUAUAGCCCGGGGCGCAAUGCGGCCUGCCCGGACCGAGGAACGCGUUCGCUAGGAUGCUGGCGUAAUGGUCGUUAGCGGCCCGUCUUGAAACACGGACCAAGGAGUCUACCAUCUGUGCGAGUAUUAGGGUGUCAAACCCUUGUGCGUAAUGAAAGUGAACGGAGGUGGGAACCCUCGGGUGCACCAUCGACCGAUCCAGAUGUCCUCGGACGGAUUUGAGUAAGAGCACCGCUGGUGGGACCCGAAAGAUGGUGAACUAUGCGCGGAUAGGGUGAAGCCAGAGGAAACUCUGGUGGAGGCUCGCAGCGGUUCUGACGUGCAAAUCGAUCGUCAAAUCUACGCAUAGGGGCGAAAGACUAAUCGAACCAUGAACGCCUACUAGGUGGUUGAGAGCGGGCGCUCCGUCGAGCGCCCGCCUAGUCCCCGAGCGGGGGGCAACACUGUCAAACUGCGGGGACUCCUGUCAAGCGAUCGGGCGACCGCCCUCCCCCCGAGACGGGGGCGAGUCGGCACCGGGCCUAGGUGCCCGGGUACGGUCAGACCACCCGCGCUCAGGUGAUCCGCAGCCCCGCCCGCAGGUGCUUAACGGCCCCCGGGCGAGGUUCAGAGACUAAACGGCGGUGGGCGCGAACAUGCGCGCCUCAGAGAUAGUCCGUCCGCCCCGAGACGGGUGCGGAUACGGGUGCCUAGUACGC
rnacentral:rRNA from 1 species